CGUGUGGUGUCCGGCAUAGAAUCGGAUAGCGACACGGCCCAAUUUGAGGU
rfam:Vibrio nigripulchritudo str. SFn1 chromosome, complete genome.